ACGCUGGCGGCAGGCCUAACACAUGCAAGUCGAGCGGAUGAGUGGAGCUUGCUCCAUGAUUCAGCGGCGGACGGGUGAGUAAUGCCUAGGAAUCUGCCUGGUAGUGGGGGACAACGUUUCGAAAGGAACGCUAAUACCGCAUACGUCCUACGGGAGAAAGUGGGGGAUCUUCGGACCUCACGCUAUCAGAUGAGCCUAGGUCGGAUUAGCUAGUUGGUGAGGUAAAGGCUCACCAAGGCGACGAUCCGUAACUGGUCUGAGAGGAUGAUCAGUCACACUGGAACUGAGACACGGUCCAGACUCCUACGGGAGGCAGCAGUGGGGAAUAUUGGACAAUGGGCGAAAGCCUGAUCCAGCCAUGCCGCGUGUGUGAAGAAGGUCUUCGGAUUGUAAAGCACUUUAAGUUGGGAGGAAGGGCAGUAAGUUAAUACCUUGCUGUUUUGACGUUACCAACAGAAUAAGCACCGGCUAACUUCGUGCCAGCAGCCGCGGUAAUACGAAGGGUGCAAGCGUUAAUCGGAAUUACUGGGCGUAAAGCGCGCGUAGGUGGUUCGUUAAGUUGGAUGUGAAAGCCCCGGGCUCAACCUGGGAACUGCAUCCAAAACUGGCGAGCUAGAGUAUGGCAGAGGGUGGUGGAAUUUCCUGUGUAGCGGUGAAAUGCGUAGAUAUAGGAAGGAACACCAGUGGCGAAGGCGACCACCUGGGCUAAUACUGACACUGAGGUGCGAAAGCGUGGGGAGCAAACAUGAUUAGAUACCCUGGUAGUCCACGCCGUAAACGAUGUCGACUAGCCGUUGGGAUCCUUGAGAUCUUAGUGGCGCAGCUAACGCAUUAAGUCGACCGCCUGGGGAGUACGGCCGCAAGGUUAAAACUCAAAUGAAUUGACGGGGG
rnacentral:rRNA from 1 species